CUACGGGUGGCAGCAGUAAAGAAUCUUCCGCAAUGGGGGCAACCCUGACGGAGCGACACCGCGUGGUGGAUGACGCUUUUCGGAGUGUAAACACCUUUUAUGAGGGAAGAAAAUCUGACGGUACCUCAUGAAUAAGGACCGGCUAAUUACGUGCCAGCAGCCGCGGUAAUACGUAAGGUCCAAGCGUUAACCGGAAUUAUUGGGCGUAAAGCGUCCGCAGGCGGUUUAUCAAGUUGAUUAUUAAAUACCGGUGCUCAACAUCGGUGCUGUAGUCAAAACUGGUAAACUAGAGAUGUGGAGAGGUGCGUGGAAUUGUGCAAGUAGGGGUAAAAUCCGUAGAUAUGCGCAGGAACACCAAAAGCGAAGGCAGCGCACUGGCCAUUAUCUGACGCUCAGGGACGAAAGCGUGGGGAGCGAAAGGGAUUAGAUACCCUCGUAGUC
rnacentral:rRNA from 1 species